ACUGAGCAGGCAGGACUGCAGCUGGGAGAGGAGUGGAUUGAUGGGUGGGCUGUUGCGUUAUCGUCACCAAAUGACCGCAGCUGUUCACAGAUGAGCCAGAAGCCUGGAGUCCCAGAGUGCCAGGUGUCAUUCCGGAGACAGCCCCUGCGUGUGCUGGGUGACGUGUCACCACCAAACCAGGCCUCAGGAACACAAGAAAGCAAGGAGAAACCAGACUCUCGGAGACAAGGAUAAAGUAAGAGCUCUACUGGUUGUCACACCUGGGCCACAGAUUUCGUUGGAAGCUGUGCGAUAAAAGAGAUCAGAACACCACAGCUUCCCAGAGGGUUUGACCAAUUACGCCAGCGGCGGCUGAGUUCCAGAUGGUAGCACUGUCCUCACAUCCCAAACUGAUGGAAUCCACGAAAUCAAGCAUCCAACUCCAUCGUAACCACUAAGAGGAAAACGAGGAAGUGUAGACCAUGGCUCUCGGCUAAAAGGAGUCUACGACUUAGUCUGAAAAAUAAUUUUGCUGAACUGUAUUGAAUCACGAUGUAGGGACAAGAGCCACCUUAAAGCAACACAUAUCACGUGUCCCUCUGGGCCCCACCUGCAAGUCUGGAAUCACCUGGAUAGAGAGAAUAGGUGAGGAAGUGGCGGAUAGGUAGGUGGAGGGACCUGAAUAGCUGACAAGCUGGGGAAUGAGGGCAUUGCCUAAACCAGUCUGUGAGCGGAUAUUAUAGUCAGGGCACGGAGAGGGAAACUGGAGACAGUGGCGGCCCCACCAUCAGACAAACCAGCCGACUACCUAGAGCUGUGUGCCAGGGCCUUCCAAGGAGAGUGGCCACGGAUAUUCUCAGAGAGUUGACUGGAGAUUCUCAAAGAGUUUUAUCCUUUACCUGUUACCAACAUGGGGGAGUGCUGGGGAACAGGACUUUACUCCAAAAUAAAAGUCAAUAGCCAAAAUAAAAGUCCCAGCACUUUGGGAGGCCGAGGCAGGUGGUUCACGAGGUCAAGAGAUCGAGACCAUCCUGGUCAACAUGGUGAAACCCCGUCUCUACUAAAAAUACAAAAAAUAGCUGGGCAUGGUGGUGCACGCCUGUAAUCCCAGUUAUUCAGGAGGCUGAGGCAGGAGAAUUGCUUGAACUCAGGAGGCGGAGGUUGCGGAGAGCCGAGAUCAUGCCAUUGCACUCCAGCCUGGGUAACAAGAGCGAAACUCCGUCUCAAAAAAAAAAAAAAAAGUCAAUAGGCCUCAACUGUGGCUUCCACUUGGGCACUCAGAUCUGUACAGCUGCCUGUCCCUCAUGCAUGGUGAAGGCUCACUAGACGAUAAUAGCUGGGGUCAGCAGCACAGCUGGUACAACAGAAUGCGAAGUAGACAUAGGGCUGGAGAGCUUGGAGCUGUCCAUGAGUGUGAGGAGGGUGAGGUGCCUCAGGCUGUUUUAUCUGGAACCAGCCUCGGCAUGCCAACACUGACAUGUGAAGGGGCGUGAUGAGCUGACAGCCCCAAGCAUAGACUAUAACAGGCAGGAGGCACCCUGGGCUUGGCUGCUAAAUAUGUUUUAUGAGCUUGUGUUGGCUUUGGAGCACAAGGAGUGAGGUUUGUUGGCCUGGUGCAGCCCUGGCCCCAAGGCUUGCUUUUGGAAGCCCCUUUCCUUGGCCUGACUUCUAGCAUUUGUGUUUUGAAGUCUGGCUAAGUUGAAUGCCAGGGAUCAGAGUUUAUAUAAAUAACCAGAGGUUAUUGCUUUUAUCCUAUACCAGAGCUUGUGUCUGAUUGUCCUUACUUCCCAAACACAAGAGAUGUGUGUGUUGGGGGAGCGUGUGCUUUGCCCUUUGUGAAUAUCUUCACCACAGUAAGAUAAAAACUAGAGUGUUAAAACUGUAACUCUUGGCACAGUUGAAUCCCUUUGGCUUGGCUAAGAUGCUGAGAGUUCCUCUGUGCUUCUGAGCAGCCCUCCCCUCCACGUUCAUGUUCUUAUUGCAGCUGUGGUCUCCUAAAGAAAGCUAAUUUGCUCAACCUCUGUUAACAGUGAAGACCCUUGGAAUCUUUAUGUUCCCCAAAGAAGGAAGACUGUGAGCUACAGUGUCAAUAUUUUGUUAUUUGAUUUUUAAAAACAAUUUGUUUAUUCCAACUUUUUUCUAGAAAGUACUGGAGUCUGCUCACAAUGAUAACAUAUGCUAUACACAGUUUCCCUGUUAUUUUUUGCUGUUUGGUUAUUUAUAAUGGAGAAACACUUUAUUUUUAUAUUUUCCAAGCUCAUUCACUAUUUCUUCGGUAAUAUUUCUCUGUUUAUUUUUAAAGAAUCUGUAAUUUAUCUCCUACAGCUUGGUCAAACACUGUAGUCCAGAGGGUGACAAGUUAUGGCUGUUGGCCAAAUCCGGCAGCCACCUGUUUUGGUAAAUAAAGUUUCACUGUAAUACAGCCAUGUUCAUUUGUUGAUUACCGUCCAUGGCUCCUUUGGCAGAGAGGAGUAGUUAACAGAGAUAACGGUGUCUGCAAAGCCAAAAGGAUUUCCUGUCUAGCCCUUUGCAGAACAAGUUUGCUACCCCAACUCUAGUUCAUAGUCUAACAUAAUUUUGAAAUAUCCUGAUUGGCACUGU